GAGGGUAUAGCUCAGUGGUAGAGCACAUACUUAGCAUGCACAAGGUCCUGGGUUCGAUCCCUAGUACCUCCA
rnacentral:tRNA from 1 species